rnacentral:rRNA from 1 species
AACUAUAACGGUCCUAAGGUAGCGAAAUUCCUUGUCGGGUAAGUUCCGACCUGCACGAAUGGCAUAAUGAUGGCAGCGCUGUCUCCAGCAGAGACUCAGUGAAAUCGAAAUCGCAGUGAAGAUGCUGUGUACCCGCGGCUAGACGGAAAGACCCCGUGAACCUUUACUACAGCUUUACAUUGAACUUUGACCUAACUUGUGUAGGAUAGGUGGGAGGCUUUGAAGCAGAUACGCCAGUAUUUGUGGAGCCAACCUUGAAAUACCACCCUGGUUAUGUUGGGGUUCUAACUUAGGAUCAACAAAUCCAAGGACAAUGUAUGGUGGGUAGUUUGACUGGGGCGGUCUCCUCCUAAAGAGUAACGGAGGAGUACGAAGGUGCGCUCAGAACGGUCGGAAAUCGUUCAAAGAGUAUAAAGGCAAAAGCGCGCUUAACUGCGAGACCCACAAGUCGAGCAGGUACGAAAGUAGGUCUUAGUGAUCCGGUGGUUCUGUAUGGAAGGGCCAUCGCUCAACGGAUAAAAGGUACUCUGGGGAUAACAGGCUGAUACCGCCCAAGAGUUCAUAUCGACGGCGGUGUUUGGCACCUCGAUGUCGGCUCAUCUCAUCCUGGGGCUGAAGCAGGUCCCAAGGGUAUGGCUGUUCGCCAUUUAAAGAGGUACGCGAGCUGGGUUUAGAACGUCGUGAGACAGUUCGGUCCCUAUCUACCGUGGGCGUUGGAAAUUUGAGAGGAUCUGCUCCUAGUACGAGAGGACCAGAGUGGACGAACCUCUGGUGUUUCGGUUGUCACGCCAGUGGCAUUGCCGAGUAGCUAUGUUCGGAUGGGAUAACCGCUGAAAGCAUCUAAGCGGGAAGCCCACCUUAAGAUAAGAUUUCCCUAAAGAGCCGUUGUAGACGACGACGUUGAUAGGUUGGGUGUGGAAGUGUAGUGAUACAUGUAGCUAACCAAUACUAAUUGCUCGUUUGGCUUGACCAUACAACACCCAAG